UUCGGAAUCUCCGNAAGGCCCCGCACAACACCAUUAAAAUUCGGCAAGCRAGGUCAUGAUUUGUCUGCACGAGUCGGGCUAUGGGUGAUACGGAUAGUCCUUUAAUUGAGAGGNAAAUACGAGCAUAUCAACCCUGGAGGACCGGUAACUGGAAGAGGGGGUGUUUCAUCUAUUUGCAAGAAGGAUCCAGGAAGGUAAACACGCUUUGACCACACCAAAAACAGCUUGUCAAACGUUCGGGGGAUAGGUUUUGGGGGGCUCUUGCUUUGUGCUUCUGACCUAUCAACUAGAUGGCAGCGUAACGGACAUGCUAUGGUACAA
rnacentral:rRNA from 1 species